CAGCAGCCACGGUAAUACGGAGGGUGCAAGCGUUAAUCGGAAUUACUGGGCGUAAAGCGCACGCAGGCGGUCUGACAAGUCAGAUGUGAAAUCCCCGGGCUUAACCUGGGAACUGCAUUUGAAACUGUCAGGCUGGAGUCUUGUAGAGGGGGGUGGAAUUCCAGGCGUAGCGGUGAAAUGCGUAGAGAUCUGGAGGAAUACCGGUGGCGAAGGCGGCCCCCUGGACAAAGACUGACGCUCAGGUGCGAAAGCGUGGGGAGCAAACAGGAUUAGAUACCCCUGUAGUCCCUGUCUCUUAUAC
rnacentral:rRNA from 1 species